GACGAACGCUGGCGGCGUGCUUAACACAUGCAAGUCGAGCGGUAAGGCUCCUUCGGGAGUACACUAGCGGCGAACGGGGGAGUAACACGUGAGUAAUCUGCCCUUCACUUCGGGAUAACCACCGGAAACGGGGGCUAAUACCGAAUACGACCAGUCUUCGCAUGAGGUGCUGGUGGAAAGUCUUUUCGGUGAAGGAUGUGCUCGCGGCCUAUCAGCUUGUUGGUGGGGUAAUGGCCUACCAAGGCUUCGACGGGUAGCCGGCAUGAGAGGGUGACCGGCCACACUGGGACUGAGACACGGCCCAGAAUCCUACGGGAGGAAGCAGUGGGGAAGAUUGGACAAUGGGCGAAAGCCUGAUCCAGCAACGCCGCGUGAGGGAUGACGGCCUUCGGGUUGUAAACCUCUUUCAGUACCGACGAAGCGCCCUGUCGGGUGGUGACGGUAGGUACAGAAGAAGGACCGGCCAACUACGUG
rnacentral:rRNA from 1 species